AGAAAAUACAAGAAAACAGACAGAAGAUCCUAUCUGCGACAAUUAAGAGCACUCUAAGAGGAAAACACAUCCCACCACACAAGGCAAGGUACUUCUAUGGAAGGGUGAGCCCUCACAGAUGGAGCAAUGGGGCGCGCACACCUGAACAAGGGAGGGGAAGGAGUUCUUAUCCCUGAUGCAUGUGACCCCUGCUGCUGUGUCCUUCCCCUAUUGGCUAAGGCUUCUGACAGCUUUGGAGAUUGUGACAUUGGAAUAAAG
rnacentral:lncRNA from 1 species